rnacentral:rRNA from 1 species
AGAAGAGCACGAGGCGGAUGCCUUGGCACAUGACGCCGAUGAAGGACGCGAGCAGGCGAUAACGACGGUGAGCUGCAAAAAGCUUUGAUCCGUCGGUUUCCGAAUGGAGCAAUCCGGCAGGAGAAGAUCCUGUCAUCCUAACGCCAAUCCAUAACGUUAGGAGGGGAGACCCGGAGAACUGAAACAUCUCAGUACCCGGAGGAAAAGAAAGAAAACUCGAUUCCCUCAGUAGCGGCGAGCGAACGGGGAACAGGCCAACAGUGAAUCACGAUUCUGAAAUCUAGCAGAAGUUUCUGGAAAGGAACACCAAAGACGGUGACAGUCCGGUACGCGAAAGAAGAAGGAAUCAUCACGAAAGAGUACCAUCGAACACGAGAAAUUUGGUGGGAACAUGGGAGGACCACCUCCUAAGCCUAAAUACGAUCAUGUGACCGAUAGUGAACUAGUACCGUGAGGGAAAGGUGAAAAGAACCCCGGAAGGGGAGUGAAAAGAAUCUGAAACCUUGUGCUUACAAGCAGAUAGAGCCCAUUUAUGGGUGAUAUCGUACUUUUUGUAGAACGGGCCAGCGAGUUAUGUUUACAAGCGAGGUUAAGCCUUUUAGGGGCGGAGCCGGAGGGAAACCGAGUGUGAAUAGCGCGACAGUUUGUGGACAUAGACCCGAAACCGGGUGAUCUAGCCAUGAGCAGGUUGAAGUUGAAGUAAAAUUCAAUGGAGGACCGAACCGGGAGCGGUUUAAAACGCUUCGGAUGACUUGUGGUUAGGGGUGAAAAGCCAAUCGAACUCGGAGAUAGCUGGUUCUCCUCGAAAUCGCUUUAGGGCAAGCCUCAUUGAGAGAUGGAGGGAGGUAGAGCACUGACUGGUCGCAGGGCACUCUGUGUUACUAACACCUAUCAAACUUCGAAUUCCGUUCAUUACCAAUGGGAGUGAGACGAUGUGGGAUAAGCUUCAUCGUCAAAAGGGAAACAGCCCAGAUCAUCAGCUAAGGUCCCAAAAUGACGUUCAGUGGAAAAGGAUGUUAUUUUACUUGGACAACCAGGAUGUUGGCUUAGAAGCAGCCAUACAUUUAAAGAGUGCGUAAUAGCUCACUGGUCGAGUGAAGUUGCGCCGAAGAUACACGGGGCUAAACGUCAUACCGAAGCUAUGGGAUGGAUCGAGACGAAAAGUAUUUUAUGAAAGCUUUCCAAAAUUGAUGAGAAAUAUCGCACACAAAGAGUCAAAUUUCAACAAACAUGAGAUACGACAGAAAAAAGCCAAAUGGUAUAAGGUUAUUCCAAGAUAUCAUUCAUCAAUUUCAUUGGGCUAAUAAAGGAAGGCGUAUUCAUAGAAUACUUUUUGUCUCGACCAUCGGUAGAGGAGCAUCGACUACACAUUGAAGCAUCAAGGGUAACCUAUUGUGGAGCGUAGUCGAGAGAGAAUGCUGGCAUGAGUAGCGAGAAGGUGAGUGAGAAUCUCACCCGUCGAAAGCCGAAGGGUUCCUGAGCAAGGCUCGUCCUCUCAGGGUAAGUCGGGACCUAAGCUGAGGCCGAAAGGCGUAGGCGAUGGACAACCGGUGGAAAUUCCGGUACAGUAAAGAAUCGUUUGAGAGAAGUGUUGACGCAGGAAGCUACGCAAAGCGCGUUGAAGGUAUGCGCGUCCAACGAAGUAGGCUAGUCCGGCAGGCAAAUCCGUCGGAUGGUGCUGAGUUCGGAUGGGGAUCGAAAUUUAAGUAGAGAAGUUGCCGAUGCUACACUGCCAAGAAAAGACGCUAUCGAGAUUUUUUGCUCCCGUACCAAAACCGACACAGGUAGGCAGGAAGAAAAUUCUAAGACGCGCGGAAGAACCUUUGUUAAGGAACUCGGCAAAAUGACCCCGUAACUUCGGGAGAAGGGGUGCCAUCUUCGGAUGGCCGCAGAGAAUCGGCCCAAGCGACUGUUUACCAAAAACACAAGUAUCGAAAGGUGUAACGAUUUGGGCACUGUCUCAACAAAGGAUCCGGUGAAAUUGUAGUAGUCGUGAAGAUGCGACUUACCCACGCUAGGACGGAAAGACCCCAUGGAGCUUUACUGCAGGUUGACAUUGGACUUUGGUUUGUAAUGUACAGGAUAGGUGGGAGACUUAGAAACAUUGUCGCCAGAUGAUGCGGAGUCGUCCUUUGGAUACCACCCUUUACAGACUAGGGUUCUAACCUAGGACCGUGAACCGGUUCGGGGACACUGUCAGUCGGACAGUUUGACUGGGGCGGUCGCCUCCCAAAGAGUAACGGAGGCGUUCAAAGGUUCGCUCAGGAUGGACAGAAACCAUUCAACGAGUAUAAAGGCAAAAGCGAGCUUCACUGCGAGACCUACAAGUCGAGGAGCAGGUUCCAAGGGUUGGGCUGUUCGCCCAUUAAAGAGGUACGCGAGCUGGGUUCAGAACGUCGUGAGACAGUUCGGUCCCUAUCCAGCGUGGGCGUAAGAAAUUUGAGAGGAGCUGUCCCUAGUACGAGAGGACCGGGAUGGACGAACCGAUGGUGUACCGGUUGUUCUGCCAAGAGCAUAGCCGGGUAGCUACGUUCGGAAGGGAUAAGCGCUGAAGGCAUCUAAGCGCGAAGCCCCCCUCGAGAUGAGAUUUCUUAGAGACCGUGAAGAAAACACGGUUGAUAGGUCAGAGGUGGAAGCGCAGUAAUGCGUGGAGCUAACUGAUACUAAUCUCUCGAAUAUUUGACCA